UUGAUCGUUGCUCAGAUUGAACGCUGGCGGCAUGCCUUACACAUGCAAGUCGAACGGCAGCAUGAUCUAGCUUGCUAGAUUGAUGGCGAGUGGCGAACGGGUGAGUAAUACAUCGGAACGUGCCCUGUAGUGGGGGAUAACUAGUCGAAAGAUUAGCUAAUACCGCAUACGACCUGAGGGUGAAAGUGGGGGACCGCAAGGCCUCAUGCUAUAGGAGCGGCCGAUGUCUGAUUAGCUAGUUGGUGGGGUAAAGGCCCACCAAGGCGACGAUCAGUAGCUGGUCUGAGAGGACGAUCAGCCACACUGGGACUGAGACACGGCCCAGACUCCUACGGGAGGCAGCAGUGGGGAAUUUUGGACAAUGGGGGCAACCCUGAUCCAGCAAUGCCGCGUGUGUGAAGAAGGCCUUCGGGUUGUAAAGCACUUUUGUCCGGAAAGAAAUCGCACUUACUAAUAUUAGGUGUGGAUGACGGUACCGGAAAAAUAAGGACCGGCUAACUACGUGCCAGCACCCGCGGUAAUACGUAGGGUCCAAGCGUUAAUCGGAAUUACUGGGCGUAUAGCGUGCCCAGGCGGCUGUCCACGACCGAUGUGAAAUCCCCGGGGCUUACCUUGGGAAUAGCAUUGGUGACUGGCCGGGUACAGUGUGUCA
rnacentral:rRNA from 1 species